AAACAAUACAAAAUGGCUGACUGGAGAAGAACAUUUUGAUUUUAUGACAGCCAAGAAAAUAACAUAAGCAAUGCCGGGAACUCUGCUAAGGAGGCCGCUCCCACCCAAGGAGCGGCAACAGCCAUCGGUGCCGAUGAUCUCACCCAGCCCCAGCCCUGACAUCUACCGUGUGCACACCCCUCCCCACCCCCUGCGCCUGUCCCCCGUCCCCAGCCUACCCAGCGUGGUGCCCAGCCUGGCGUCCGGCAUGCAGCUGUCUCAGCUCGAGGCACCACGGGAUGGCCUCCAGUCC